rnacentral:rRNA from 1 species
AACGAACGCUGGCGGCAUGCCUUACACAUGCAAGUCGAACGGUAACAGGUCUUCGGAUGCUGACGAGUGGCGAACGGGUGAGUAAUACAUCGGAACGUGCCUAGUAGUGGGGGAUAUCUACUCGAAAGAGUGGCUAAUACCGCAUGAGAUUUACGGAUGAAAGCAGGGGAUCGCAAGACCUUGUGCUACUAGAGCGGCCGAUGGCAGAUUAGGUAGUUGGUGGGAUAAAAGCUUACCAAGGCGACGAUCUGUAGCUGGUCUGAGAGGACGAUCAGCCACACUGGGACUGAGACACGGCCCAGACUCCUACGGGAGGCAGCAGUGGGGAAUUUUGGACAAUGGGCGCAAGCCUGAUCCAGCAAUGCCGCGUGCAGGAUGAAGGCCUUCGGGUUGUAAACUGCUUUUGUACGGAACGAAAAGCCCUGGGUUAAUACCCUGGGGUCAUGACGGUACCGUAAGAAUAAGCACCGGCUAACUACGUGCCAGCCGCCGCAGUAACAC